GGAUGUCAGGGCGAUCCGGCUGUGACAUCUGUCACCCCAUUGGUUGCCAGGUUGAAUCAGCUGAUCUGGCUGGCUAGGCAUGUGUCCCCCUCCUCCCUCACCAUUCCACGUGCAUCCCUCCCAAAGCUGUGCUGCUUGGUCCAAGAGGACGACCAUCCCCGAUAGAGGAGGACUGGUCUUCUGUCAAGGGUAUACAAGUAACUGCACUCCCCUUCUAGAACCUCCAAACAAGCUCUCAAGAGAAUAUAUUUAAGUGAACAGUUAGGGACAACAAUAAAGUUGCUUAGUGAUUUCAUUGCAUGAGUGUGGUUGCUCACUAGAGCAAUUAGCAGUAAUUU
rnacentral:snRNA from 1 species